CGCUCGUGAGGGUUGGCGUCGCGACGGACUCGACAUCGCGACGCCACGUGUGGUGCUGGACCUCGUAUCGAGUUAAAUGUUCCGGUUUCGAGGAAACUUUUAAACAAGUCCAUUGCGCUGGUGACUUCAGAUAGGCGAUGAGAGCUACAAGAGUCUGCUUGAUUACCGACAGGCAUAAACGAGAGGUUAGGGCAUUCGGUGAGAAAGUCUUCUACUAUUUGGCCUUCGCAUUCGAUCACCCUGCGCCCCCAAUCUGGAUCAGCUUUUGUUAAAUGAGCAAUGAUCGAGCAAACCGCCCCCAUGGCGUGAGCGUGCCAUGCACUUCUGGCAGUACAUGGAGAUCGCCAUUACUCUCUGCGUCGGUGGGUUCAUAGUGGCCGGCCUGCUAAUGUGUUACACGUGCGUGUUCAGGCAGCUCUUUUGU